rnacentral:lncRNA from 1 species
UAAACUGUCAACCCUGAUGAGAUCAUUCGAAUCGUGCUCAACUCAAUUAGUCCUGUGACUCCUCACUAGGACUACCCUGGCCAAAGUUUUGCUAAAUUGAAACACGACUGUACACAGCUCCUAAACUGGAGUGGUCAAUCCCAUCUUGACACAUGCACCGACAAGUCAAGUACUUGACUACACCCAGCAGCCUUCCGUCACUAAAUUAGAAAUUCAGGUAGUCCAGUGCCUAAGUGCAGUGAGUUGCUUGCAAUUUACCGUGGCGGUCUC